CCUACGGGGCGCAGCAGUGAGGAAUAUUGGUCAAUGGGCUUACGCCUGAACCAGCCAAGUCGCGUGAGGGAAGACUGCCCUAUGGGUUGUAAACCUCUUUUGUCAGGGAGCAACGCCGGCUACGUGUAGCCGGACUGAGAGUACCUGAAGAAAAAGCAUCGGCUAACUCCGUGCCAGCAGCCGCGGUAAUACGGAGGAUGCGAGCGUUAUCCGGAUUUAUUGGGUUUAAAGGGUGCGUAGGCGGCGCUUCAGGUCAGCGGUGAAAUACCGGGGCUCAACCCCGGGGCUGCCGUUGAAACCGGAGC
rnacentral:rRNA from 1 species